AUUGAACGCUGGCGGCAUGCCUUACACAUGCAAGUCGAACGGCAGCAUGGAAGAGCUUGCUCUUCUGAUGGCGAGUGGCGAACGGGUGAGUAAAGCAUCGGAACGUACCGUGUAGUGGGGGAUAACGUAGCGAAAGUUACGCUAAUACCGCAUACGCACUGAGGUGGAAAGCAGGGGAUCGCAAGACCUUGCGCUAUACGAGCGGCCGAUGUCAGAUUAGCUAGUUGGUAGGGUAAAGGCCUACCAAGGCGACGAUCUGUAGCGGGUCUGAGAGGAUGAUCCGCCACACUGGGACUGAGACACGGCCCAGACUCCUACGGGAGGCAGCAGUGGGGAAUUUUGGACAAUGGGGGAAACCCUGAUCCAGCCAUGCCGCGUGAGUGAAGAAGGCCUUCGGGUUGUAAAGCUCUUUCGGCUGGGAAGAAAUCGCACAGGCUAAUACUCUGUGUGGAUGACGGUACCAGCACGAGGAGCACCGGCUAACUACGUGCCAGCCGCCGCCGUAA
rnacentral:rRNA from 1 species